rnacentral:rRNA from 1 species
CGCGGCCUAUCAGCUUGUUGGUGAGGUAACGGCUCACCAAGGCAUCGACGGGUAGCUGGUCUGAGAGGACGAUCAGCCACACUGGGACUGAGACACGGCCCAGACUCCUACGGGAGGCAGCAGUGGGGAAUAUUGCGCAAUGGGCGAAAGCCUGACGCAGCAACGCCGCGUGGGGGAUGACGGCUUUCGGGUUGUAAACCCCUUUCAGUGAUGACGAAAAUGACGGUAAUCACAGAAGAAGCCCCGGCCAACUACGUGCCAGCAGCCGCGGUAACACGUAGGGGGCGAGCGUUGUCCGGAUUUAUUGGGCGUAAAGAGCUCGUAGGCGGUUGCGUAAGUCGGAUGUGAAAACUCAGGGCUCAACCCUGAGCAGCCAUUCGAUACUGCGCUGACUAGAGUCCGGUAGGGGAGCAUGGAAUUCCUGGUGUAGCGGUGAAAUGCGCAGAUAUCAGGAGGAACACCAGUAGCGAAGGCGGUGCUCUGGGCCGGUACUGACGCUGAGGAGCGAAAGCAUGGGUAGCAAACAGGAUUAGAUACCCUGGUAGUCCAUGCCGUAAACGUUGGGCACUAGGUGUGGGACCUACUUAACGGGUUCCGUGCCGUAGCUAACGCAUUAAGUGCCCCGCCUGGGGAGUACGG